UUUCCGUAGGUGAACCUGCGGAAGGAUCAUUAAUAGUGCCCUCUGAUGCAAAUCAUUGGGUUAGAUCUGCUCUCUUCGCAAGAAGAGGGUUUCCAUACACACCGUGAACUGUGGCUUCGGCCAUCACAAACUGUUAGUAAUGAAUGUAAUAUCAUAACAAAAACAAAACUUUUAACAACGGAUCUCUUGGCUCUCGCAUCGAUGAAGAACGCAGCGAAAUGCGAUAAGUAAUGUGAAUUGCAGAAUUCAGUGAAUCAUCGAAUCUUUGAACGCACCUUGCGCCCUUUGGUAUUCCGAAGGGCAUGCCUGUUUGGGUGUCAUGAAACCUCACCCCACUUGGGUUUUUGCCUGAGCGGUGGUGUAUUGGGUGUUGCCUUGCUAAAGGCUCGCCUUAAAGACAUAAGCACCUUGGAUGUAAUACGUUUCAUCCUUCUGGGUGGCUGAUAACCCCACAUAUUCAUGAUCUGGCCUCAAAUCAGGUAGGGCUACCCGCUGAACUUAAGCAUAU
rnacentral:rRNA from 1 species